UGAUCAAAGAGACGAAAGUAACGAACGAAAUAACAACGCGAGCGAAAAAGUUAAAGAGAAGGGUGGGGGUUGGUGGCAGGUGGUGGUAGUGGAAGUGAAAAGAUAGAGAUAGAGAGGAAGAAAGAGAUAGAAAGAGAAAGUAACGUCGGUUGAAAUUUUCAGUUAAUUUAACAGGAGAGACCGCGGGAUUGACCGAGCGCGAGCACAGCCGGCAAAUGCCAUUUAUUGCAAAUCGAUCGCACUUACUCGUCGUCCGCUUUGACAUCCUCGCGGCGUUCGCUCGUCCGCGACAAACAAUAGCUCGCAACAACGAUUAAUUAUAUGUUGCCAGUGGCAGAGCGCGAUAUAAAUCACACAAUCAAUUUUCCUCCCGCUCUAGCGGCUUGCUCUUGGCACGUACACCAAUCGUAAGCCGUUUGAGAGGACCAAUUCUCAUCCAUCCUCUCUCACUCUCUCUCUCUCUCUCGCUCUCUCUCUCGUUUAUAUACGUUAUGUCCUACUCCCUUUUUACUUCUUUCCUAUCGAGCAUAACCGAGAGUAUGUAUUCCAUGGAGACGAUUUAAAGUUAAAAAGCUUUUGGUACUUCUAUUGAUACGUCAUGCGAGAGACGAGAGAGAGAGAGAGAGAGAGACAUUCCACCUGAUUCCGUUCGAAUACGCUUACUGCGUUUUACGAACUUUCGACUUUCGCGUUAUUUUCGUUUUAUCAUCGUAAAACUAUAAGAUAAAGUUUCGUGCAAGCAUCGAACAAAACCUUCUAACAGUGUAAUACGUAUUAUAUUUAUUUUCAUUCCCUAUGUGUGCUAUCUACACGAAUGGUACGUACGGUUGGCUCUUCCAACAAACGCGUAUCGAGAUUUAUCGAAUCGUGGGUAAAUGCUCCCUCUCGUUGGGUAGAUUCUUUCCAUCGGUGAAAUCUAAUUGGAAAAGCGUCGCAUGGAUGAAAGAGAAAAAGUAUCCACGCUUGACACAACGUUAUACAUUCGUUAAAUAUUUAACCAAGGACAAUACUUCUUAAAGGGAAUCCCUUGCUACUGUUCUGAGGUCCAAAAGACGAUGAAGACAGAAGGACAGAAGAGCAGAAGAAGAAGCAGAAGAAGAAUAGAAGAAGAAGUUAAUGGAAGGAAGUGUUCUAUUUCUGUACAAUAAUCCUCAGGAAACGUUGAAUCAUGUUUCAUCUCCAGGUUUACAUCUUGUCUGCGCGACGGAUUCUCUAGUAGUAGAGUAAAGGAAUAUUUGAAUAGUAGUACUUCCAUUCCGUAUAAACACCACAGGCGUAUCCAUUGCCUUGGAAUUUGCCGUGAGAACGAUAAAUAUCUCAAGUAAAACAUACACACAUACACAUAUAUAUAUACAUACACACUGUCGGCUGAGGUUCGUUUCACUUGUCUUGAUCGGUAAUAGGAGGAAGAACUAUAAGACAGAUAUACGUAUAUGUAUGGAAGGUUUGUUGGUAUUGGAUACCAUCAUUUCUUCGUUAAACUGUACUGUAAUUACUACGGAGAGACAGGAUGAAAAUCCAAAGUGGGUGGGGUGGGCUUUGGUUGGGGGUGUUUUAAAAAGCCCCCUUCGACUAUUAUGCAUAUCCUUAGCAAAAUCCCCUACGGCCGCGAAGCCGGAAAAGCCAAAGGCGUAAAGAGCCCGGUAUUCUGAAAUGAGAUCCCUUUCUUCCUUCGAAACUCAACUAAAUGAAAAACUCUACUACAGCUCCGACCUCUAGGAGCUUUUAUUGUUUUCGUGAAAAAAAAAAAAGAAAAAAAAAAGAAACUGGAGGGAACGAAAGAUACGAAAGGGUGAGGGGAUUGGGGAGAGAAAAGAAAAGAAAAAAAAAAAAGAAAAAGAAGAAAGAAAGGAAGAGGCAAAAUAAGGACAUUGAGUAUUCUUUUUACUAAGCUUUCACCCUAAACUAUUCGAUCGGAGGUAAAUUCUUUUUAAUCGAUUUACUCGUUCAAAUGCAACCAUCGAUUUUGAUUUCUUUCUUUUUUAAUAAUCUCGACCAUCUUAUUUAUUUCAAGAUAGAAAAUUAUUAAUAAUGUUCGUAUUCGGUUUCUUCGAUGCGUACAUUAUAAAUAGAAAUAAAAAUAAAGAACCCAUGCGUAAUAGGAAUUGACUGACGUCCGUGAUAUUUUUUGAAUUCUUCUCAAAAUACACAUAUAACUGUGUAUAUAUAUAUAUAUACAUAUUUAAGUAAACAAACGUGAGUUUAGAAAAAAUAUAUAUUCAACCGGCCGCAAUGAAGCUCGCCCUAGGGGAACGAUACGAUUUUUUAAUCUCACGGAUGGAAAUGUUUGCGUCGACGCGUCGACGAACCAACCACCAGUCACGUUGUUCCGUAUAUAUUCGUUCGUAUUUAAUUUCGCAUGGAAAUCGUUGCGUGUAUCACAAAGGUAACCGAUUAAUAUUCCUAUCUUUUCAAAAGUUAUCUUGAUUUUGGCUUGAGUUUUUUCAUGUUUUUUUUUUGUUUUUUUUUAUUUUUAUUUCCUCUCUUUCUCUCUCUCGAUUUAUCUUUCAAUCCGAAUGAAAAGUUUCAUCGGGAGAUACUUCGUUGCGUUUUACGAAAUAUCACUUCUGAUAGAUGGUGAAAAA
rnacentral:lncRNA from 1 species